GAUGAACGCUGGCGGCGUGCCUAAUACAUGCAAGUCGAGCGAACAGACGAGGAGCUUGCUCCUCUGACGUUAGCGGCGGACGGGUGAGUAACACGUGUAUAACCUACCUAUAAGACUGGUAUAACUUCGGGAAACCGGAGCUAAUACCGGAUAAUAUAUUGAACCGCAUGGUUCAAUAGUGAAAGACGGUUUUGCUGUCACUUAUAGAUGGAUCCGCGCCGCAUUAGCUAGUUGGUAAGGUAACGGCUUACCAAGGCAACGAUGCGUAGCCGACCUGAGAGGGUGAUCGGCCACACUGGAACUGAGAAACGGUCCAGACGCCUAAGGGAGGAAGCAGAAGGGAAUAUUCCGCAAUGGGCGAAAGCAUGACGGAGCAAAGCCGCGUGAGUGAUGAAGGUCUUCGGAUCGUAAAACUCUGUUAUUAGGGAAGAACAAAUGUGUAAGUAACUAUGCACGUCUUGACGGUACCUAAUCAGAAAGCAACGGCUAACUACGUG
rnacentral:rRNA from 1 species